AGUAAUGUCUGGGAAACUGCCUGAUGGAGGGGGAUAACUACUGGAAACGGUAGCUAAUACCGCAUAACGUCGUAAGACCAAAGUGGGGGACCUUCGGGCCUCAUGCCAUCAGAUGUGCCCAGAUGGGAUUAGCUAGUAGGUGGGGUAACGGCUCACCUAGGCGACGAUCCCUAGCUGGUCUGAGAGGAUGACCAGCCACACUGGAACUGAGACACGGUCCAGACUCCUACGGGAGGCAGCAGUGGGGAAUAUUGCACAAUGGGCGCAAGCCUGAUGCAGCCAUGCCGCGUGUGUGAAGAAGGCCUUCGGGUUGUAAAGCACUUUCAGCGGGGAGGAAGGCAUUAAGGUUAAUAACCUUAGUGAUUGACGUUACCCGCAGAAGAAGCACCGGCUAACUCCGUGCCAGCAGCCGCGGUAAUACGGAGGGUGCAAGCGUUAAUCGGAAUUACUGGGCGUAAAGCGCACGCAGGCGGUCUGUCAAGUCGGAUGUGAAAUCCCCGGGCUCAACCUGGGAACUGCAUUCGAAACUGGCAGGCUAGAGUCUUGUAGAGGGGGGUAGAAUUCCAGGUGUAGCGGUGAAAUGCGUAGAGAUCUGGAGGAAUACCGGUGGCGAAGGCGGCCCCCUGGACAAAGACUGACGCUCAGGUGCGAAAGCGUGGGGAGCAAACAGGAUUAGAUACCCUGGUAGUCCACGCUGUAAACGAUGUCGAUUUGGAGGUUGUGCCCUUGAGGCGUGGCUUCCGGAGCUAACGCGUUAAAUCGACCGCCUGGGGAGUACGGCCGCAAGGUUAAAACUCAAAUGAAUUGACGGGGGCCCGCACAAGCGGUGGAGCAUGUGGUUUAAUUCGAUGCAACGCGAAGAACCUUACCUGGUCUUGACAUCCACAGAACUUNUUGGUGCCUUCGGGAACUGUGAGACAGGUGCUGCAUGGCUGUCGUCAGCUCGUGUUGUGAAAUGUUGGGUUAAGUCCCGCAACGAGCGCAACCCUUAUCCUUUGUUGCCAGCGGUUAGGCCGGGAACUCAAAGGAGACUGCCAGUGAUAAACUGGAGGAAGGUGGGGAUGACGUCAAGUCAUCAUGGCCCUUACGACCAGGGCUACACACGUGCUACAAUGGCAUAUACAAAGAGAAGCGACCUCGCGAGAGCAAGCGGACCUCAUAAAGUAUGUCGUAGUCCGGAUUGGAGUCUGCAACUCGACUCCAUGAAGUCGGAAUCGCUAGUAAUCGUAGAUCAGAAUGCUACGGUGAAUACGUUCCCGGGCCUUGUACACACCGCCCGUCACACCAUGGGAGUGGGUUGCAAAAGAAGUAGGUAGCUUAACCUUCGGGAGGGCGCUUACCACUUUGUGAUUCAUGACUGGGGUGAAGUCGUAACAAGGUAACCGUAGGGGAACCUGCGGUUGGAUCACCU
rnacentral:rRNA from 1 species